AAAGGUAGCAUAAUCACUUGUCUCUUAAUUGGGGACUAGUAUGAAUGGCAUAACGAGGGCUCAACUGUCUCUUAUUCCCAAUCAGUGAAAUUGACCUUCCCGUGCAGAGGCGGGAAUUAUUAUACAAGACGAGAAGACCUGUGGAGCUUAAGUCAAAUAACUCAAGACAUACUGACACACAACCGACCGGAACAACCUGUAUAACCCCCUGAGUUAUGGUCUUUGGUUGGGGUGAUCUCGGAGCAUAAAACAACCUCCGAAUGAAAAUAACCAAGAUUAACUAAUCUAAGUGUAAUAACACCAGUAAUUGACCCAUCUUUUGAUCAACGGAACAAGUUACCCCAGGGAUAACAGCGCAAUCCUAUUUGAGAGGCCAUAUCGGAAAUAAGGGUUUACGGCCUCGAUGUUGGAUCAGGACAUCCAAAUGGUGCAACCGCUAUUAAAGGUUCGUUUGUUCAACGAUUAAAGUCCUACGUGAUCUGAGUUCAGACCGGAGAAAUCCAGGUCGGUUUCUAUCUGUAAAUUCAUUUCUCCCAGUACGAAAGGACAAGAGAAAUAGGGCCAACGUCCAAAUAAGCCCUAGAACCAACAUAUGAAUAAAUCUAAAUAUACUAAGCCAAUUCAUAUACACUCUAGAACAGGUUGUUAAGA
rnacentral:rRNA from 1 species